rnacentral:rRNA from 1 species
AGAGUUUGAUCCUGGCUCAGGACGAACGCUGGCGGCGUGCUUAACACAUGCAAGUCGAACGAGAUCCUUCGGGGUCUAGUGGCGAACGGGUGAGUAACACGUGAGCAACCUGCCCUUGGCUCUGGGAUAGCCUCCGGAAACGGGGAUUAAUACCGGGUACGACCCCUGAUCGCAUGAUCGGGGGUGGAAAGUUUUUCGGC